rnacentral:rRNA from 1 species
UACGGGGGGAGCAAGCGUUGUUCGGAUUUACUGGGCGUAAAGGGCGCGUAGGCGGUCAGCACAAGUCAGUUGUGAAAUCUCCGGGCUUAACUCGGAAAGGUCAACUGAUACUGUGCGGCUAGAGUGCAGAAGGGGCAACUGGAAUUCUCGGUGUAGCGGUGAAAUGCGUAGAUAUCGAGAGGAACACCUGCGGCGAAGGCGGGUUGCUGGGCUGACACUGACGCUGAGGAACGAAAGCUAGGGGAGCAAACAGG